GGCGAUAAAUCAUUCAAGUUUCUGACCUAUCAGCUUUCGACGGUAUGGUAUUGGCUUACCGUGGCAGUGACGGUUAACGGGGGAUUAGGGUUCGAUUCCGGAGAGGGAGCCUGAGAAACGGCUACCACAUCUAAGGAAGGCAGCAGGCGCGCAAAUUACCCAAUUCUAACAGUUUGAGAGAGGUAGUAACAAGAAAUAACAAUACAAGGCAGUUAAAAUGCUUUGUAAUUGGAAUGAUAGAAAUUUAAACCCUUUUUAAAGUAUCAAUUGGAGGGCAAGUCUGGUGCCAGCAGCCGCGGUAAUUCCAGCUCCAAUAGCGUAUAUUAAAAUUGUUGCAGUUAAAAAGCUCGUAGUUGAAGUUCUGCUAAAAGUAACCGGUCUGCUUUUAAUAAAGGUGGUAUCUUGGUGUGUAUUUAGCAAUGAUGUCCUUUGAAGUGUUUUUUACUUUAUUGUAAUAAAGCAUAUUCAGGACUUUUACUUUGAGAAAAUUAGAGUGUUUCUAGCAGGCUAACGCUUUGAAUACUGCAG
rnacentral:rRNA from 1 species